AUGUUGCAACUCAUUUCUACAGUUGAGUUAACUGGAGCAACGUGAAAUAAAAUGUCUUGCUCAAGAACACUACACGAAGCCCAGUCCGGGAAUCAAACUCACAAUCUCACGAUCAUAAGCUCAACGCUCCAACCACUGAGCGAUGCACCUUCACAGGGAAGAGGUGGUGAUG